GUGCUCGCUUCAGCAGCACAUAUACUAAAAAAUUGGAACGAUACAGAAAAUAUUAGUGCAAGGUUGACACACAAAUUCGUGAAGGGCAAGAAUGUUAC